CCAAUAGCGUAUAUUAAAGUUGUUGCAGUUAAAAAGCUCGUAGUUGAAUUUCGGGGUCAGUAGAUUGGUCAUGCCUCCGGUAUGUACUGGUCUUACUGGCUCCUCCUUCCUGAUGAACCGUAAUGCCAUUAAUUUGGUGUGGUGGGAAAUCAGGACUGUUACUUUGAAAAAAUUAGAGUGUUUAAAGCAGGCUCGCGCUUGAAUACAUUAGCAUGGAAUAAUGAAAUAGGACGUUAAUCCUAUUUUGUUGGUUUCUAGGAUCGACGUAAUGAUUAAUAGGGAUAGUUGGGGGGAUUAGUAUUCAAUUGUCAGAGGUGAAAUUCUUGGAUUUAUUGAAGACUAACUACUGCGAAAGCAUUUGCCAAGGAUGUUUUCAUUAAUCAAGAACGAAAGUUAGGGGAUCGAAGACGAUCAGAUACCGUCGUAGUCUUAACCAUAAACUAUGCCGACUAGGGAUCGGAUGAUGUUAAUUUUUUAAUGACUCAUUCGGCGCCUUACG
rnacentral:rRNA from 1 species